rnacentral:rRNA from 2 species
CCACCCUUUAAUGUUUGAUGUUCUAACGUGGACCCGUGAUCCGGGUUGCGGACAGUGUCUGGUGGGUAGUUUGACUGGGGCGGUCUCCUCCUAAAGAGUAACGGAGGAGCACGAAGGUUGGCUAAUCCUGGUCGGACAUCAGGAGGUUAGUGCAAUGGCAUAAGCCAGCUUGACUGCGAGCGUGACGGCGCGAGCAGGUGCGAAAGCAGGUCAUAGUGAUCCGGUGGUUCUGAAUGGAAGGGCCAUCGCUCAACGGAUAAAAGGUACUCCGGGGAUAACAGGCUGAUACCGCCCAAGAGUUCAUAUCGACGGCGGUGUUUGGCACCUCGAUGUCGGCUCAUCACAUCCUGGGGCUGAAGUAGGUCCCAAGGGUAUGGCUGUUCGCCAUUUAAAGUGGUACGCGAGCUGGGUUUAGAACGUCGUGAGACAGUUCGGUCCCUAUCUGCCGUGGGCGCUGGAGAACUGAGGGGGGCUGCUCCUAGUACGAGAGGACCGGAGUGGACGCAUCACUGGUGUUCGGGUUGUCAUGCCAAUGGCACUGCCCGGUAGCUAAAUGCGGAAGAGAUAAGUGCUGAAAGCAUCUAAGCACGAAACUUGCCCCGAGAUGAGUUCUCCCUGAGACUUAGAGUCUCCUGAAGGAACGUUGAAGACGACGACGUUGAUAGGCCGGGUGUGUAAGCGCAGCGAUGCGUUGAGCUAACCGGUACUAAUGAACCGUGAGGCUUAACCUUACAACGCCGAAG